rnacentral:misc_RNA from 1 species
AACACAUCCUCAAGCAAAUUGGCUUGGUCUUGGAGGAAGAUGUCAUCAUCUCCUCUCAAAUACCUCAGCGGAAACCUCUGCAGGCUCAGGUGUGAUAAUUACUUUUCACUUGGUGACUGUGGUUACGUUCUUGCUGUCAAGAGCCCCCCAGCUUCUAUAAGUUUGACCUCGGAUCAGGUAGGGAUACCCGCUGAACUUAA